rnacentral:rRNA from 1 species
GAUGAACGCUGGCGGCGUGCCUAAUACAUGCAAGUCGAGCGAACAGACGAGGAGCUUGCUCCUCUGACGUUAGCGGCGGACGGGUGAGUAACACGUGGAUAACCUACCUAUAAGACUGGGAUAACUUCGGGAAACCGGAGCUAAUACCGGAUAAUAUAUUGAACCGCAUGGUUCAAUAGUUAAAGACGGUUUUGCUGUCACUUAUAGAUGGAUCCGCGCCGCAUUAGCUAGUUGGUAAGGUAACGGCUUACCAAGGCAACGAUGCGUAGCCGACCUGAGAGGGUGAUCGGCCACACUGGAACUGAGACACGGUCCAGACUCAUACGGGAGGCAGCAGUAGGGAAUCUUCCGAAAUGGGCGAAAGCCGGACGGAGCAACGGCGCGGGAGUGAUGAAGGUCUUCGGAUCGUAAAACUCUGUUAUUAGGGAAGAACAAAUGUGUAAGUAACUAUGCGCGUCUUGACGGUACCUAAACAGAAAGCCACGGCUAACUACGUG